rnacentral:rRNA from 1 species
UGGUCAAGUUAUUAAGGGUGCAGGGCGGAUGCCUUGGCACUAGGAGCCGAUGAAGGACGUGAUAAGCUGCGAUAAGCUUCGGGGAGUUGCACGUAAACUUUGAUCCGAAGAUUUCCGAAUGAGGAAACUCACUUAGAGUAAUGUCUAAGUAUCAUUAAGUGAAUACAUAGCUUAAUGAGGGGAACUCAGGGAACUGAAACAUCUAAGUACCUGAAGGAAGAGAAAGAAAUUCGAUUCCGUAAGUAGCGGCGAGCGAACGCGGAUUAGCCCAAACCAAUAAAGUUUUCUUUAUUGGGGUUGCGGACAUAUCAUAACGAAGAGGUAUCGUAAUUGAAGAGGUUUGGAAAGACCCACCACAGAAGGUAAUAGUCCUGUAUGUUAAACGAGAAGACUUCAGAUAUGAUCCAGAGUACCACGGGACACGUGAAACCCUGUGGGAAGCAGGAGGGACCACCCUCCAAGGCUAAAUACUACCUAGUGACCGAUAGCGUAUAGUACCGUGAGGGAAAGGUGAAAAGAACCCCGGGAGGGGAGUGAAAUAGAACCUGAAACCCUGCACUUACAAGCU